rnacentral:rRNA from 1 species
UUAAGCGUGUAGGCUGGUUUUCCAGGCAAAUCCGGAAAAUCAAGGCUGAGGCGUGAUGACGAGGCACUACGGUGCUGAAGCAACAAAUGCCCUGCUUCCAGGAAAAGCCUCUAAGCAUCAGGUAACAUCAAAUCGUACCCCAAACCGACACAGGUGGUCAGGUAGAGAAUACCAAGGCGCUUGAGAGAACUCGGGUGAAGGAACUAGGCAAAAUGGUGCCGUAACUUCGGGAGAAGGCACGCUGAUAUGUAGGUGAAGCGACUUGCUCGUGGAGCUGAAAUCAGUCGAAGAUACCAGCUGGCUGCAACUGUUUAUUAAAAACACAGCACUGUGCAAACACGAAAGUGGACGUAUACGGUGUGACGCCUGCCCGGUGCCGGAAGGUUAAUUGAUGGGGUCAGCGCAAGCGAAGCUCUUGAUCGAAGCCCCGGUAAACGGCGGCCGUAACUAUAACGGUCCUAAGGUAGCGAAAUUCCUUGUCGGGUAAGUUCCGACCUGCACGAAUGGCGUAAUGAUGGCCAGGCUGUCUCCACCCGAGACUCAGUGAAAUUGAACUCGCUGUGAAGAUGCAGUGUACCCGCGGCAAGACGGAAAGACCCCGUGAACCUUUACUAUAGCUUGACACUGAACAUUGAGCCUUGAUGUGUAGGAUAGGUGGGAGGCUUUGAAGUGUGGACGCCAGUCUGCAUGGAGCCGACCUUGAAAUACCACCCUUUAAUGUUUGAUGUUCUAACGUUGACCCGUAAUCCGGGUUGCGGACAGUGUCUGGUGGGUAGUUUGACUGGGGCGGUCUCCUCCUAAAGAGUAACGGAGGAGCACGAAGGUUGGCUAAUCCUGGUCGGACAUCAGGAGGUUAGUGCAAUGGCAUAAGCCAGCUUGACUGCGAGCGUGACGGCGCGAGCAGGUGCGAAAGCAGGUCAUAGUGAUCCGGUGGUUCUGAAUGGAAGGGCCAUCGCUCAACGGAUAAAAGGUACUCCGGGGAUAACAGGCUGAUACCGCCCAAGAGUUCAUAUCGACGGCGGUGUUUGGCACCUCGAUGUCGGCUCAUCACAUCCUGGGGCUGAAGUAGGUCCCAAGGGUAUGGCUGUUCGCCAUUUAAAGUGGUACGCGAGCUGGGUUUAGAACGUCGUGAGACAGUUCGGUCCCUAUCUGCCGUGGGCGCUGGAGAACUGAGGGGGGCUGCUCCUAGUACGAGAGGACCGGAGUGGACGCAUCACUGGUGUUCGGGUUGUCAUGCCAAUGGCACUGCCCGGUAGCUAAAUGCGGAAGAGAUAAGUGCUGAAAGCAUCUAAGCACGAAACUUGCCCCGAGAUGAGUUCUCCCUGACCCUUUAAGGGUCCUGAAGGAACGUUGAAGACGACGACGUUGAUAGGCCGGGUGUGUAAGCGCAGCGAUGCGUUGAGCUAACCGGUACUAAUGAACCGUGAGGCUUAACCUUACAAC